rnacentral:misc_RNA from 1 species
CAAAACUUAAAUAUUAAUUCAAGUAUGACUUUUUAUGAGAACAAUUAUAUAAAAUUGUUUCAGAAACCGAAACCGUACCAAACUAGAAUCAAAACAAUAAAGAAUCGAACUGGAACUGUACCAAAAUUUCGGUUAGUUCUAGUUCCUAGGCAAACCCUAACCGAAACCAAAACCACACACCUUAAUAGAGUUUUUUGCUCAAAUUUUCAUAUUAAGCUAGAUAUAACAAUUUAUUGGAUACGAGUAAUUAGCAUAAAUAAAAAUUAACCUAAUAUGACUGCAAAAACCAGAAAUGCAAAAUAAAUCUUUAUACAACUUAGUGAAG